AAAUAUUAGAUUUGAAAAUAUUUUAAAAGUUCGCAUUUUACACUUUACGUGAUUGUGCUGAGUGCAUUUAAAAUGGCACCAAGAAAUUCCCCAGAUAUAAUUACAGCAAAACUCUUUCUUUCUUUCUUUGUUUUUAGCACCCAUUAGCAUGCAAUAGAAGAGAUAUUCUGAGGAACUUACUUGAUUACUCUCUGCUCUACAAAUUUAUUUUCAUGAUAAUUUGCUUUCACAGUUUCUGAAUUACUCAGGUUUCUCCAGAGAAAUAGAACCAAUAGGACAGAGCAAUCUGGUUACCCUAAAUUCACUGGUUUAAGUGUUAAUAUCAUCCAAUAACAGUUUUGCCCUCAUCUUUCUGCCUUUUCAUUUGCAACUUCGUCCACAGGUUCCUUUUCCCCUGCUAACUCUCGUUUACUGAGACAUCUACUCUUGGUCCCCUGCUCCUUUCUCUCCACAGUCUUUUCACUAUUUCAUCUAGUCUCACAAUUGUAAUUGCCGUUUAGACACUAACAAUGUAAAUCCAUCAUACCUAUGAUGUCACCUUUAAGCUUCAGGUGCAUAUAUUUAUAUUCUAGCAGUACCAAUUCAUUUGGCAUGUCAUAAACACAGAUUCAACAGCUUCCAAAUUAAACUCUCCAAAUUUCCCUUUUCCCACUCCACUCCUUAUUGCUACCUGCUAACAUUCCGUCUAUGCCUAAUUCAUCCCCUAGUCCUGCUGACAUAAUCUCAGCAUUUUAAAGUUGUAACAACUUAGCUGGGCACACAAAGCUCUGAGUGACCUAAAACCCAUUUUUUUCUAACUUCAUUUUUUGAAAUACUGAAGUCUGUACACAUGUUUUGUCUCCAUACCUUAUUUCAGGGUUACUCUUUGGCCUAGAGCACUAUCCCAUCUCCUGUUUAUUCACCUGGGUAACCUCUUUUCAACUCUGGAUGUCGUUGCCUGAAUCUGCAGACAGAAUGACGUG
rnacentral:lncRNA from 1 species